GGCAGACGGGUGAGUAACGCGUGGGAAUCUACCCAUCUCUACGGAAUAACGCAUGGAAACGUGUGCUAAUACCGUAUACGUCCUUCGGGAGAAAGAUUUAUCGGAGAUGGAUGAGCCCGCGUUGGAUUAGCUAGUUGGUGGGGUAAAGGCCUACCAAGGCGACGAUCCAUAGCUGGUCUGAGAGGAUGAUCAGCCACACUGGGACUGAGACACGGCCCAGACUCCUACGGGAGGCAGCAGUGGGGAAUAUUGGACAAUGGGCGCAAGCCUGAUCCAGCCAUGCCGCGUGAGUGAUGAAGGCCCUAGGGUUGUAAAGCUCUUUCACCGGUGAAGAUAAUGACGGUAACCGGAGAAGAAGCCCCGGCUAACUUCGUGCCAGCAGCCGCGGUAAUACG
rnacentral:rRNA from 1 species